AAUACGCUAAACCAGAAUCCUCAGAUUCCACUUGUAGCUCAAAAUGGCAUGGCGCUGACAUCGAACACUGCCCAUGAUCCUUACCAUGCCUCCGCCCCCAUGGCCUCACACCAAGCCCUCUCAAAAUCACAUUGGAACUCUUAGAUGUCAUGCAACAUAUCUAGAUGCUUGUUGCCUCAUAUUAUACCCAUUUGCCUUAUCCUCAACUUCAGCAUAUUCCCUCAGCGCAUGCCGCCUGCAUAGCUGACAAGGUUGCGGCCUAGUUGGCACGCACAAUCUAGGCGAGUGACAAGCCCCAAAAAUUUAGGGCGUCACACUAUGCUCUGUAUACAUUAGAAUGGGAUAACAUUAUUGGAUUUCGGUCCUAUUACGUUGGCCUUCGGGAUCGGAGUAAUAAUUAACAGGAACAGUCGGGGGCAUUCGUAUUUCAUAGUCAGAGGUGAAAUUCUUGGAUUUAUGAUAGACGAACAACUACGAAAGCAUUUGUGAAGGAUGUUUUCAUUAAUCAAGAACAAAAGUUGGGGGAUCUAAGACGAUCAGAUACCUUCCUAGUCUCAACCAUAAACGAUGUCGACCAGGGAUCAACGGAAAUUGCUUUUAGGACUCCACCGGUACCUUAUGAGAAAUCAAAGUUUUUGGGUUCCGGGGGGAGUAUGGUCGCAAGGAUGAAACUUAAAGGAAUUGAUGGAAGGGAACCACACGGAGUGGAGCCUGCGGCUUAAUUUGACUCAACACGGGGAAACUUACCAGGUCCAGACAUAGUAAGGAUUGACAGACUGAGAGCUCUUUCUUGAUUCUAUGGGUGGUGGUGCAUGGCCGUUCUUAGUUGGUGGAGCGAUUUAUCUGGUUAAUUCCGUUAACGAACGAGACCUCAGCCUGCUAACUAGCUAUGUGUAGGUAUCCCUUCGCGACCAGCUUCUUUGAGGGACUACGGCCUUUUAGGCCCCGGAAGUUUGAGGCAAUAACAGGUCUGGGCCGCACGCGCGCUACACUGAUGUAUUCUACGAGUUUAUAGCCUUGGCGGACAGGCUUGGUUAAUCUUUGAAAUUUCAUCGUGAUGGGGAUAGAUCAUUGCAAUUGUUGGUCUUCAACGAGGAAUUCCUAGUAAGCGCAAGUCAUCAGCUCGCGUGGACUAUGUCCCUACCCUUUGUACACACCGCCCAUCGCUCCUACCAAUUAAAUGAUCUGGUGAAAUGUGCGGAUCGUGGCGACGUGGGCAAUUCGCUGCCCGUGAAAUUGCGAGAAGUCCAUUGAACCUUAUCAUUUAGAGGAAGAAGAAGUCAUAACAAGGUUUCCAUAAGUGAACCUGCGGAAG
rnacentral:rRNA from 1 species